rnacentral:rRNA from 1 species
UACGUAGGGGGCAAGCGUUGUCCGGAUUUAUUGGGCGUAAAGAGCGUGUAGGCGGUCUGGUAGGUCCGCUGUGAAAACUCGAGCUCAACCUCGAGACGCCGGUGGAAACCAUCAGACUAGAGUCCGGAAGAGGAGAGUGGAAUUCCUGGUGUAGCGGUGAAAUGCGCAGAUAUCAGGAAGAACACCCGUGGCGAAAGCGGCUCUCUGGGACGGUACUGACGCUGAGACGCGAAAGCGUGGGGAGCAAACAGG